AAAUAUCAAAACUAGUACGAAAUAGCAGCACCGCUAGUAUUUUGCAGAGAGAUUAGGGAGCAGAGAUAUAGAGAAAGAGAUGAACAGCAGAGACAAAAGAUGGUCUCUUAACGGAAUGACGGCUCUUGUCACUGGUGGAACCAAAGGAAUUGGGUAUGCAAUAGUGGAAGAAUUGGCAGGGCUAGGUGCAAUUGUGCAUACUUGUUCGCGAAAUGAAGUUGACCUUAAUGACUGCCUGAGUCAGUGGGAGAAGAAGGGUUUUCAAGUCACUGGCUCAGUCUGCGAUGUGGUGUCAAAGACCCAAAGAGAGGAGCUUAUAAACAAGGUCUCAUCACUCUUUGAUGGCAAACUUAACAUCCUUAUAAACAAUGUGGGGGCUAACAGACCAAAAGCAACACUAGAGUACACCGCUGAAGAUUACUCAUUCAUGAUGAGCAUCAAUCUUGAAUCCGCUUACCAUUUGUGCCAACUUUCACAUCCUCUUCUCAAAGCUUCUGGAUCUGCUAACAUCGUUUUUUUAUCCUCUGUUGCUGGUGUGGUCUCACUAGAGGUUGGAUCUAUAUAUUCUGCAACUAAAGGCAGUUGAAGAAUUGAGCUUAAAUUGUGUGGCUUUUCUGUAUUGUAUCUCUCAGGUGCAAUAAAUCAAUUAGCAAAAAACUUGGCAUGUGAGUGGGCAAAAGAUAAAAUAAGGACCAACAGUGUUGCACCUUGGUUUAUCACCACUCCCCUUGGUGAAAUGUUUCUCGGAAAUAAAAAGAAAUCGGCGGUGAUAAAUUCUCGGUGCCCUUUAGGACGUCCAGGAGAGCCAGAAGAAGUGUCUUCCUUGGUAGCAUUUCUAUGCCUACCUGCAGCCUCUUACAUUACUGGGCAAACUAUUACCGUCGACGGCGGGGUGACUGUCAAUGGCUUGCUCUUCCAAGAAACAUGACAUGCAAAUAGUUCGAUAUGUAGUAGUAGACAGUGCUUGAGGUCAGGAAAAACAAAAUCUCUUAUCUAAUUCCAAAGUGGUGAGCUUUAGUUCUCCGAAAAAAGAAAAAACAAAGUGGUGAGCUUUAGUUUUAUGUGAAAUUAAGUGACAUUAAUGUUCUAAUUAAAUAAGUGAAUGAAAGACCGCCGACCAUUUGGUCUAUUGAUUUAA